rnacentral:rRNA from 1 species
UACAGAGGUCCCAAGCGUUGUUCGGAUUCACUGGGCGUAAAGGGUGCGUAGGUGGCCGGGUAAGUCUGACGUGAAAUCUCCGAGCCUAACUCGGAAACUGCAUCGGAUACUAUCCGGCUCGAGGGUUGGAGGGGGGACUGGAAUACUUGGUGUAGCAGUGAAAUGCGUAGAUAUCAAGUGGAACACCAGUGGCGAAGGCGAGUCCCUGGACAACUCCUGACACUGAGGCACGAAAGCUAGGGGAGCAAACGGG